rnacentral:rRNA from 1 species
GGGUCAGUAGGUUGGUCGUGCCACCGGUACGUACUGGUCUCACUGAUUCCUCCUUCCUGAAGAACCGUAAUGCCAUUAAUUUGGUGUUGCGGGGAAACAGGACUGUUACUUUGAAAAAAUUAGAGUGUUUAAAGCAAGCUAACGCUUGAAUACAUUAGCAUGGGAUGAUGAAAUAGGACGAUCGAUCCUAUUUUGUUGGUUUCUAGGAUUGACGUAAUGAUUAAUAGGGAUAUUGGG